ACAGCAGCCGCCGCGGGAAUACGGAGGGGGCUAGCGUUGUUCGGAAUUACUGGGCGUAAAGCGUACGUAGGCGGCUUUGUAAGUUAGAGGUGAAAGCCUGGUGCUCAACACCAGAACUGCCUUUAAGACUGCAUCGCUUGAGCGUCGGAGAGGUGAGUGGAAUUCCGAGUGUAGAGGUGAAAUUCGUAGAUAUUCGGAAGAACACCAGUGGCGAAGGCGGCUCACUGGACGACUGUUGACGCUGAGGUACGAAAGCGUGGGGAGCAAACAGGAUUAGAUACCCCAGUAGUCCCUGUCUCUUAUAC
rnacentral:rRNA from 1 species